GGAGAGAUGGCUGAGUGGCCGAAAGCGCACGCUUGGAAAGCGUGUGAGGUGGAAACGCCUCCGCGGGUUCGAAUCCCGCUCUCUCCGCCA
rnacentral:tRNA from 1 species